rnacentral:rRNA from 1 species
GACGAACGCUGGCGGCGUGCUUAACACAUGCAAGUCGAACGGUAAGGCUCCAGCUUGCUGGGGUACACGAGUGGCGAACGGGUGAGUAACACGUGGGUGACCUGCCCUGCACUUCGGGAUAAGCCUGGGAAACUGGGUCUAAUACCGGAUAGGACCGCACCGUGAGGGUGUGGUGGAAAGUUUUUUCGGUGUGGGAUGGGCCCGCGGCCUAUCAGCUUGUUGGUGGGGUAAUGGCCUACCAAGGCGGCGACGGGUAGCCGGCCUGAGAGGGUGGACGGCCACAUUGGGACUGAGACACGGCCCAGACUCCUACGGGAGGCAGCAGUGGGGAAUAUUGCACAAUGGGCGGAAGCCUGAUGCAGCGACGCCGCGUGCGGGAUGACGGCCUUCGGGUUGUAAACUCCUUUCGCCAGCGACGAAGGGUUUCUGACGGUAGAUGGAGAAGAAGCACCGGCUAACUACGUG